AGAUUAACAUCAUCGAUGUUGCCAAGCCAAAAUAAGAAACUACCGACCGAUUCCUAGCCUAAAAAAUUCCAUAAUUCAUAGCUAAUAUAGGCAUAAUUCAUCUUGUAAUGUUAAGAAGAAAGUAAAAACAUGCAGGUUACCUUGUAUGAGGAUCUGGAAACAUGUUGGAACUCUGCAUAUAAGGCUUACUGUUAGGAUACAAGUUGCUAAUGGCAGCACUGCACUCCAACCCUCCAUCACUUGGAAGAGUUAGCAUUUUUAGCAAUUUGAUUGAAAAUCACUUCUCAUGAUACAAAUGUGCUCAGCAUUUUACUAGAAAGGUCAAAUGUAUUUAAAAAUUAGAUGGGUAUUUUGAAAAAAUUAAUUUUAAUACUAAAUUCUUUAUUUUUAGAGCUGUAAAUUAGAGGGAUUGACCUGAACAAUAAAUCAGCCAUGUCUAAACAGAGCAUUCAUACAAAAUUAUUUUCCAUAAGUUUUAAUCUAUUUUUAUAUAAAUAAAAAUUUGUAAUCUACUUUCAAGGUAUUGAAAAAUAAGUUUUUCAAAUCCUAAAUUCAUUUCAGUUAAGAUCGGAUUAUACUAAUGUUUCGGAUAAUUUAUUUAUAAAAAUCUCAACAAUUAAAUUUAUGAACAUUGAUAAAAAGAAGUAAUUAAAUUUGCAAAUGGGGUGAGGUUACAAAGGUCCAAACCAAGAUUUAAAAAACAAAUUCCUAUAAAAUUAAUAUCACUGUAAAAAAAUAUUUCUACAAUAUUAACCAUGUCUUUAAAAUUAACAUAAUCAAAAUUCAUAUUUUCACAGUAAAUAUUAUAGUAAUUGAGAUAUCACAAAAUCCAUGGUUAAAAAUAAAUAAAUAACAAAAAAUCAUGCUUAUCCUCAUGCCUAUGUAAACCUAGCACAAAA
rnacentral:lncRNA from 1 species